AGGAUCUCCUCACAUUUGAAGUUCUGAUAAUGAAAAUCUUUGUGUUCACCAUUGUCAUUGCACUUCUGUGCAUAGCACAGGAAAGCAAAGCCAGUACACAUAUAAAGUAACUGAAUGUUUUCACAGCUUUUUUCCAGAUUUUACACUAAAAACGGUAAAAAAGUCUGUACAAAGCCACAUGAAGAAUGGGUAAGGAAACACAUUACAGACCGUGAAAAUUAAAAAAAAAAAGAAGUAAAAAGGAGGAAGAAAAGAUUUAGAAAGGAAAUUUUUGGACAUAUUAGAAAAAUGUACAGUCUUUUGAAAGACUAAUUGAAAGGCUGCCUAAUGGAGGCUUCAAAACAAAAUCCAAAGACUUUUUGUAAGAAGAACAAAUGAAUAUCUGGAGAAAGAAGAAUAAAAUUCUUUUUUGGGAUUCCAUAUCUACUCUUUGGGGUCCUGCCUUCAUUUUAAAUGUUGAAUUCUUCCUGUUACAUAGUUAAAGCAUAUAAAUGUGCAUACACUUUAAAUCGUAUUUACAGGUAAAUUGUAAGAGCAUAUAAAAUGCUUUUAAACAUGAUAUUUUUUAAAUUUUAAAGGA